AAGGAAAGAAAGAAAAGGAAAGAAGAGAAAGCAAAGGAAAGAAAAGAAAGGAAGAACAAAACCCAACAACCUGAGGGGGCAGCAAGCAGACAGAGCAAGCUGCUCACUCCUCCGCGUGUCACCAGCAGUCCGCUGCAGAGCACGGCGCUGCGGGUUGUCCUGCACAGGGCAGCCAAGGUCACACCUUGUGCAGACAGUAGCCAGAAGUGCCGUAAAACUGGCCUUAGAGCAACACUGUUACCGCUAUUAUUUUGGAAGGGUGGCGUGGGGGAACCCGGUUCGCUCAUCAGGCGGCAGCUCCCGCCGAGGAGCAGCAGCAGGUGGGAGCAGGGCGUGCUGCAGUGCCGCCGUGCGGCUCGCGCCGGUAUUGGCGCGCGCCCACCGCCCCGUGGCGGCAGGAGGCGCCGGCCCUGGGGAGGGAGCGGGCAGGAGCCGCCGCGCAGCGCCCAGCCCCAAACCGCACUUCCUCGUUUACUCUUAGGCUGUGUAGCUUUUGGUGCUCUUAUCACCCACGCCCAAAGUCUUACCAUGACGUGCUGUGGGGAGAAAGUCCUUGUGUGCAAAUCUGAGUGCCAGCUGCUAGCACUUUGUCUCAGCAAAAAGAGAGCCACUUGUGAUCCCCCAGAACGGACGAGCCAAGUGAAAGUACCUCUUGUGGAUGUGAAUAGCGUGACUCAAAGGUGUACACUGCAGUUUGUGCCUGAUGGCAGUGAACCAGGGUUUUGCCAUCCCACAGCACUCAUUCUGCCCUACUCAGCCAAGAGCCAGAGCCAGCUUCUCUGCUGCACUGCAAGGUGA
rnacentral:lncRNA from 1 species